CAGCAGCCGCGGUAAUACGGAGGAUCCAAGCGUUAUCCGGAAUUACUGGGCGUAAAGAGUUGCGUAGGUGGCAGAGUAAGCGAGGUGUGAAAGCGUACGGCUCAACCGUAUAUACAUGCUUUGAACUGCUCAGCUAGAGGACAAGAUAGGUCACUGGAAUUCCUAGUGUAGGAGUGAAAUCCGUAGAUAUUAGGAGGAACACCAAUAGCGUAGGCAGGUGACUGGCUUGUUCCUGACACUAAGGCACGAAAGCGUGGGGAGCGAACGGGAUUAGAUACCCCGGUAGUCCACGCCGUAAACGAUGGAUGCUAGCUGUUAUCAGUAUCGACCCUGGUAGUAGCGAAGCUAACGCGUUAAGCAUCCCGCCUGUGGAGUACGAGCGCAAGCUUAAAACUCAAAGGAAUUGACG
rnacentral:rRNA from 1 species